UCAAGGAAUUGUGCCAAAAGUCCCGUUGCUAGUUACCAAGUGCAUUUUUUUAAACGUCCCUUUGAUACUUCUUUCCCUCAUGCUUGCCAUGGAAUAUGCAAGUAAGAUAAUCUUUCCAUUACUUACAGAAAGCAAUUAAAAAAAGAAGAACUUCUGGCUAAACUUUUUUUUUUUUCCCCUCGUCUUUUUAAGGGGCAAAAGAAGGGAAACGAGAGGGAGAAGAAUAUUUUUUUCUUUUUGCAGAGUCCAACAUUUGGCUUUUUCCAUUUGUGGCAGAUCACUGUAACGCUAUUGUAAAACAACUUCCUGCCCCUUUUGGCUCAAGUUCCAGAAGCUGCUAGGCUAAGUUCAUAGCACAAACUUUUUUCCCCCUUGCCGAAGAAGAGAGACAAAAAAAAAAAAAAAAAAAAUCCUGCAAAUUAUUUUCUCCCUUUUCUGGCUAAUGGACUCAUAAGGUGAAUUUAUUGCAGCUCCUUAAGAAUGUUACACAAGAGACGUCGGUAUCCCAGCUGGAUAAUUCAUAAGCUUAAAAGGGACGGCUAAAAGGAGUUCAGAAACGCUCACAGCAAUAAACAGCAGAGCAGCUCGUUUCCAGGACGGCACCUCAAGCCAGUAUUCACAUCAGAUUUCCCUGCCGAACAAAGAGCAGCACUCACAGAUGAAAAAUAAUAAACAUCUUUCAGAGAAA